UUCAAAAUUUCUUCACAGAUCUUUGAUGAUCAUUCGAAGAUCUUCGAAGCUCUUUCUAUGGCAAAUUCAUCAUCUCCAUUAAUUCCUUUUAAUCUUUCUUUACUCAUCUCGAAUCUCAGCUCCUUUGUUAAUGUGAAGUUAGGUUCUACAAAUUAUAUAGUCUGGAAAAAUCAAUUAUAUUGCGUGUGACAAAUCUCAUUGGUUUUGUGGAUGGAUUACUUAGUCUGUCGUCUGUGAUCAUUGAUUCUGAGAACAGAGAAAUCUCAAAUCCUGAGUAUGAAAAAUGGAUGUGCAUUGAUGCACAUCUACUUAGUUGCAUAGUUACUCUAUCUCUAGCCAUCUUCACUUUUGUCUUUCAUUGCAAAACAAGCUAUCAGAAAAUCUUAUUCUCAUCAAGGUGGAUCUGCUAGACGAAGAGGUUUUCAAGGUCCUUUAUUCUCCAGAAGAGGCAGAUAUUUCAGAGGUUCUCGUAGAGGAGGAAGGCAAAAUUUUCACAAUUCUCAUCAAAUUUCUCAAUCAUCUGGUGUUCCUUCUCAAAUUGGUACUGGUUCUGGAAUUGUAUGUCAGGUCUGUGACAAAUACAAUCAUACAGCCUUGGAAUGUUGGUAUCGAAUGGAUCAAAGUUUUCAAGUUUUUACCAAGCCACCCACACCUAAAGCUUAUGUGGCUUUUGCUCCUAAUUCUUAGAGUUCACAUAUUCCUCUUACCUAGUAUGUUGAUUCCAUAGCUACUAGUCAUAUCACAAAUGACUUAAACCAUCUAUCUGAUUAUCCAGUCACCAUUGGUGAUGGUUUUACUCUUCCUAUUCAUCACAUUGGUAAUGGACUACUACCUACCCCUCCUCAUCCUCUUCAUCUUCAUAACAUUCUCCAUGUUCCUUACAUCUCUUCUAACUUACUUUUUGUGCAUAAGUUGGUUUCAGAUAACAAUUGCUCUAUUACAUUUGAUGGUGAUGGUUUUCUUGUUCAGGACAAAGCUACCAAGAAAAUCCUGUAUAAAGGUUUUCAUUCUCAAGGUCUUUACCAUGCUCCAUUCAUUUCUCCAGCCUCCACAUCAGCUGUUUGUCCUCAAUCUUGCUUUACCAGUACAGUUUCCACCUUUGCUGCACAUGAACCUGUUGAACAUCCAAGUCCAAAUUGUCAUCUACUACUUGAUCAUCCUUCAUCUAAAAAGCUUCAGCACAUUGUAAACACUUUUCAUUUGCCUACACACUUCAUCAGGAUUGUGUACUGAUUGUUGGGACAUAUAGAUUACCAUUUAGUUUGUCUAAUUCCAUUGUUAAUAAACCUCUUGCUCUUAUUUAUUCAGAUGUUUGGGGCCCUUUUUUCUGCAUCUGUAUCAGAUUACAAGUACUAUGUUAUUUUCA